GUAUUUAUAGGCUCCAAACUGGUUUGAAUUUGGAGCUCAAAAAUGUCAUCUCCCAGAUUUCCGGGGUCCUGGCGGUACCACCUCCUGACUAGGGCGGUAUAACCGCCUAGCAGCUCGGAGACUGAGACUCUGGACAGUGCCACCGCCUGACAGGGGCAGUUGCAUCACCCAGUCUCGCUCGGAGACUGAGCCCUGGUGGUGCCACAGCCUGACUGGGGUGGUUGCAUUGCUUGGCAGAACUCGGAGACCGAGCUCAGGCGGUUCCAC
rnacentral:lncRNA from 1 species